rnacentral:lncRNA from 1 species
CUCACCUCACACUCCCAUUCAGGUAGGGCUCUUUUGAACAGGACAGGACCUGGGAGGGGCCUUCCAUCAUCUGCUCCACAGCCCCUGCAGGAGGAAUUAGUCUACCUUCUGUCGGAGGGGUCCACAGUAAUGCAGAAGAAGCCUUUGUUUUGAACCUGUCAGAAGUCAGGAGUACGAGACCAUGAUGAGUUAAGUGCAAGUGGUGGGUGGGAGUAGGAGGGAAUGUCAAACUGCAAAGAACCAAC